rnacentral:rRNA from 1 species
CUAGUAAGAUCCCUGAAAGAUGAUCAGGUUGAUAGGUCAGAGGUGGAAGCGUGGCGACAUGUGUAGCUGACUGAUACUAAUCGAUCGAGGACUUAACCA